rnacentral:rRNA from 1 species
UACGUAGGUGGCAAGCGUUAUCCGGAAUUAUUGGGCGUAAAGAGCGCGCAGGUGGUUAAUUAAGUCUGAUGUGAAAGCCCACGGCUUAACUGUGGAGGGUCAUUGGAAACUGGUUGACUUGAGUGCAGAAGAGGGAAGUGGAAUUCCAUGUGUAGCGGUGAAAUGCGUAGAGAUAUGGAGGAACACCAGUGGCGAAGGCGGCUUCCUGGUCUGCAACUGACACUGAGGCGCGAAAGCGUGGGGAGCAAACAGG